GAAAGACCAGAAAUAAAUUGG
rnacentral:rRNA from 1 species